GUGAACGUAGGCUGGGAGGGUUGUUGGCUGCCUCAGGGCCUGGACCCAGGAAGCCGCUCCUAAGUUUGGGCAGCCACACAUCCCUAGGAUUUCGAGACUGUUUUCCCGAUGAAGACUCGGACGGGAAGAUAUUGGGUUGCCAUGGAAACAGAUUUUUUUUUUCUCCUGCCAGAGCAAACAUUUCCACAGCAACCUCGAGAGAUGCCAGACGAGCGGUGGGUACUGCCUCCUCCUCCCACGCUUCCCCAUGGCCUCUGAGCCCAGAGCGCGCCCUUCUAGCUGGGUUUCUGGAAGCCGCACUGUGUAAAGUCGUGCCCACGGCCUGGUGAGGAGGGGAUGCCCCCACCGGUGCAGCCCCCUCCCCACAUGCCCGGGCUCUCAGCACGGGGGGAGUCAAGCGCAGGGAGGGGCAGACGCAAGAUGCCCACUCCCUGCCCAGGCUGGUCCCCUCUGCCAUCUGCCAGCCCCCUGCAGACCCAGGUGACUGCACCUUCCCUCCCUCCUCCCCGUGCACAGGGCCCAGAGUGGGGGGGGGGGUCUCAGGGGGCCACUUGGAGAAGCUGGGGAGGGGCAGGGCUUCUCUGGAGAAGGGCAAGGUCUCAGUCCUCAGAGCCUGCCAGCCCACCCAUGGCCCGGUCCCACUGGAGCCCUCUGGGCCCUGGGCUGAGACUCCAGGAACAAAGCUCAGAGAGGCCUCUGGCCUUUCCCAGGACACACAGUGGGUGAGUGGAAGAGGCAGGCUCUGUGACACUGUGCUGUCUGUCCCUGUCCCUGGACAUGAGGUGCUCACUGUGUGUUGAGAGGGUUGAGGAGGAGGGAAUGGGGCAGGUGGAGGCUGAGUAGCUGGCAGGGCACAGCCCAGCCGGGGACAGAGGAGGGAGCAGGGGAGCAGGGGAGCCCCCAGAGUGGGGUGGGAAGGACACAGGGAAGGGGGAGGCGGGGGAGGCUGUCGAGCUCAGUGACCAAGAGCAGGGACUCUGGGGCCUGCCAGAGGGGAGUGGAAUCCCAGCCCCUCUCCAGGGGCAAGUUUGCACUUGUGACGGUUGUGUAUUCUUUCUGAACCCUAGUUUCUCACCUGUAAAACGGAGAGAACAACUGACACCUCCAGCCUUGUUAGGAGGAUAAGUGGGUCAGGAUGCAUUUGAAGGCAGCUCAGGAAAAGGCCAUUCUUUCCCUCAGCGGACGGGGUCCCACAUAGCACCUGCGCAGCUGCUGCUGCACGUGGCUGGCUGUGGCCCCUGGGCUUGUACCUGGCAGGUGCGCACAGGAGCUGUUUGAAUAGGCUGCGGAUCGCGUUCAUCCGUGCCAUCCUGUAUUCCGUUACUAAUACCCUCGAGGACAGGGACCCCGCCUCGUUCACUCCGUAUUCCAUGGGGUCCACAACACCCGGCACGGAGUAGGCAUUCCGUUCGGCCCCCAAAGCGAAUAUAUUGAGCGCCGUUUGAUCUCCGCAGCUCCGAAGCAGCCGUUAAGUGGCCCAGCUGCGGCCCACUCUCCUAGGAAGUCCCGGCCCAGCAGCGGCUGAAGGGGGCCGCUCUCGAGCCAUCUUUCUUCGCCGAGUUCUCCCCGAGGAUGCACAGUCACCGCAGGGCACGAGCUCUGGCCCUCAAGAGCCACAGGGUCUUCUGGGCACCCCCGGGUCCCAUCCCCGCCCAAAGGACGGGAGCUGCACACAGGGCCACGGACAAGACAUCAGGACAAAGGAAGUUUAGUCUCGGUUCUACUGACAGCUGGCCACGUGACCUGGCGCGGGCCUCAGUUUCCCUGUCUGCUAACGCUUCCUUGCAGACUUUGCAGUUCUGAUGGUCCAGAAUUCCGUCUGUGGGCCGUUGGCCGAGCGCUUACUUCCGGCAUGCAGCAUUUCCUCUCACCUUCCUGACAGCCUCGCGGGCUGCGUGUCUCUCUCCCCGGCUGACGAGGAGGAAACUGGAGUGCGGAGGAGGGAAGUCACAGGGUUCGGCCCCCAAAGCCUCUGCUCUUCUCCCGCCUGCUCCCGCACUGGGCCCUCUGCUGCCCGCCGCUGCCAGGCUGAGUCCUCCCCAACACCCUCGGCCAGCAGGGCCAGGCGCUGGGGCCAGGGAGGGGUGGCCAGUGACAGAGGGCACCAGCCAUCUCUGCUGGGAGGCCCCUCCUUGCCCUUUGCUGCUAACGGGGCCAUAGAUCAAAGCGGAAAGUGACCAAAGGAAAGGAAAAGGCAAGGCCGCCAGCCGUCUGCAGGCUGGGUCAGAACCACAGCUGAGGCAUGGCCUGCGUUGAGAGCUCCAGGGCUGGAGGGACUGAUCCUUCCCCAGGGGAUGGGGCACCGCAGACCCGGCUGCCAGAGGAGGAGCUCCUGGGUGAGCCUGAUGCACUGGUUCCAGAUGCAAGACUGUGGGCUGAGAUGUCAGACUGCCUGGCUUUGAACUUGGCUUUGCCCCUCAUUAGCUGUCGUAUAGGGUUCCUCUACUCCAGACAAAACCCGGCCACAAUUUCUCAAGCUGAUGUGCUGGACUCGAGCCCCCUGGAGAUGCUUGGAAUCUCUAAGUGCCAAUUCCGAAAUCGUCGGGCAGUUUCUCUGGCCCAGCCCGGGUCUCCUCCCCAUCUUGCACAAGUCGCUGCCUGCUGGGGCAGGACGGGGCGGUGCUGAGGUCACGGGUGCUGAGCGAAGCCCACACGGGUGGGGUAGCUAGAAGGGCCCAGGGAGGGAGUUGCCGGGCAAACUCCCGCAGCUGGGAUUCCUUUGUCCAAACUCCGCAUUCCCUUUCCAGCUGCGCCUUUUGCACAUCUGCACACUACACCCUCACCUUGUCUAUCGGCAAAAGUGUCAAACAGGACAGAGCUGAACUUCUGCCCACCACUGGACACUUCCCUCCAGGUGACACUUCUCUGUUGAGCAAACCACUUGAUAUUUUUAACCAGACCACAGAGCACCGCUGCGCUGUGGGACAUAUACGGCCAUGCUUACCAUGACAGUGUGGAACGUAUGUGGCAUUAUGGAAAAUGCUUAGCAUGUAUUAAUGGCAAGUGAAAAAAAAGUGAUAUACAAAAUUAAAUCAUGCAUUUAAAGAAAAAAAUAGAGGGCUGAAAUAUUAAAAAGAGUAACAUGGACUGUAUUUGGGUAGCACAGCUGCAGAAGGGCAAAGAGGGCUGCUUGUUGGCUUUGGCCAGUCUGGACACCGUAGCCUUGACUCCAGCCGCCAGGACGAGCCCCACGCAGAGGUCUGUCUCUCACAACACCUGCAGGGGUUCGUUGGGAAUGACUGAACCCAACUUCUGUAGGAGACACAGUUAGAAUUUACGCACUGGGUAACUUUGCCAUGGAUGUAUACAACACACAGGAAUGUAAUAGAGUGAGUUUUGGUAUCAGUUCCUGUGAUUCCCUUCUAAAGCAUGAAGACCAGGUAGACAGUGUGGAGAAGCGGUAUCUUCUGUCCUAUCUGCACCCUGUUCCGACCACCCACCCACAUCUUGCUGAUCCUUUCUUGGGGUGUUUCAUUCUCGUGUCAAGGGCCCCAGCUAGCCCACGGGAUCUCUCUGUGUGACUCAGAGAAGGGCGCCCCUUCUGGAUAGACACAGCCCCAUGGGUGUGAGCCAAAGGCAGGUUGGGUUCUAGCUGCUACUCCUCCCCUCACCUGGAUGCUCUUGCACAGUGGACAACAUACACGACUGUAUGAGCUGUCUCUGCCCAUGUUCCACACUUACCUGUUCAGGAAAACAGAAAAUGCCAGAUCCUGGCAUGAAGCACAGCCUUGUAGUCCAGGUCCUUCUCCAGAAGAUUUCUUCUCGGCCUUGGCCUUCCCCUGGUAAGGCCUUGGGCUUUAACUGGGGGAAAGUCUUUCUGUGGCUGCAGCCCUCUGGGGUGAGGCCCAGACAGCAGGUCAGUGGCUACAUGACUGAGUGCAUCCUUUCCCCUGUCCCUGUCUUACUCACCUCCACCUGGCACUGUAGCACAUCGUCAGUUUUAUGUGAAUUGGACUGAAUUUAUUCUGGAGGUGUAGGACUAGACAUCCUCACUGAGCAGGUGUCUUGGAGCCCCCUGAAGGAUACAGGCUUUUUUUCCCCACAGGGCUGUAAAAUCCUAAAAUUCAAGUGAUCCUUCCUGCCUUGCCCUCCUAGAUCAACUAAAACGCCUGGUAGAGAUGGGCUGAAGAGCCCUUCACCACCCAGAAUGUUCUAUUAGUUGGGUUUUUACAUUCAGAGUACACUGCAGAGACACCCACCUCCUAGCUUUCUGGAAGCAUCCAGGCUUUCUCCCUGGUGCAUUUUUCCUCCAAAUAAUUCUAGGAACUCAUUUCUUUGCCUUUUGGCAAUAAUAACCCAAACCCCAGGACUCCAAAUGGAAAAGAACAGCCUUAAUUUCUAGGCCUCUGGGGUGGGGUGGGGCACAGAGAGAACCAUCCCUGCUGUGAGCUGUGGCAGUUCUGUCUGUAUCAGGCCAAAUGCAUCAAGCCCAAAUGACUACCUGAAGUGUUAUUAGAAUUCAGGUGGCCCCAUCAUCACAGUCCUCUCUGAGCUGUGAA